UUGGAGGGCAAGUCUGGUGCCAGCAGCCGCGGUAAUUCCAGCUCCAAUAGCGUAUAUUAAAGUUGUUGCAGUUAAAAAGCUCGUAGUUGAAUUUCGGGAUUAGUACGUUGGUCGUGCCUUCGGUACGUACUGGUGUUACUGAUUCCUACCUUCUGACGAACCAUCAUGUCAUUAAUUUGGUGUGGUGGGGAAUCAGGACUGUUACUUUGAAAAAAUUAGAGUGUUUAAAGCAGGCUCGCGCUUGAAUACAUUGGCAUGGAAUAAUGAAAUAGGACGUUGACCCUAUUUUGUUGGUUUCUAGGAUUGACGUAAUGAUUAAUAGGGAUAGUUGGGGGCAUUAGUAUUCAAUUGUCAGAGGUGAAAUUCUUGGAUUUAUUGAAGACUAACUACUGCGAAAGCAUUUGCCAAGGAUGUUUUCAUUAAUCAAGAACGAAAGUUAGGGGAUCGAAGACGAUCAGAUACCGUCGUAGUCUUAACCAUAAACUAUGCCGACUAGGGAUCGGAUGAUGUUAUUUUUAAUGACUCAUUCGGCGCCUUACGGGAAAC
rnacentral:rRNA from 1 species